GGGGGAAAAAUUAAAAAAAAAAAAUUAAUAAAAAUAAUUUUAAAUAAAAAAUAAUUUAAGGGGGGUUAAAGUAUUUUUUAGGGAAAAAAUUAUAAAUUUUAUAAUAAAUUAGUAUUGUUAAAGAAAUUUGAAAUAAUAGUGAAAAUUUAAUUUAAAAAGAAGUAAUUUUAGUUAAUGUAUCUUGUGUAUCCGAGUUUAUUAAUAAAUAAAUUUUAAUUAAAAAAUUCUCGAAUUUAAAAGAGAUAAUUAAUUAUAAAAGUUAUUGUUUCAAAAAUAUUUUAAAUAAUUAAUUGGAAAUGAAAUGUUAAUCGUUUUUAAAUAUAUCUAGUUUUUUUAGAAAUAAAUUUAAUUUAUAAUUUAAAUAUAAUUAAAAUUAAAUAUUUAAUUUUAAUUAUAUUUAAAUUAAAUAAUUUAAGGGAUAAGCUUUAAAUUAAAUUUUUAUAAUAAUUUUAAAAAAAAAUAAAAAUUUUAAAAUUUAUAUUGUUUAAAAAUUUUAAUUUUUUAAAAAUAAUUUUAUUAAAAAAAAAAUUUAAUUUAUGUUUAUUUAAUUUUUUAUAAGAAAAUAAUUUUUAAUAUAAUAAAAUUAGUAAUAAUGAUAAAAUUAGUAUAAAAAAAAAUUAAUUAAAUUUAAAUUUUUUAAAAUUAAUUAAAAGGAAUUCGGCAAAUAAAAAUAUAUUCACUUGUUUAUCAAAAACAUGUCUUUUUGAGUUUAAUUUAAAGUCUAAUCUGCCCACUGAUAUAUAAUAUUAAAGGGCUGCAGUAUAUUGACUGUACAAAGGUAGCAUAAUCAUUAGUCUCUUAAUUGGUGACUUGUAUGAAGGAUUGGAUGAAAUAUAAACUGUCUCUUAAUUAAAUUUAGAAUUUAAUUUUUUAGUUAAAAAGCUAAAAUUUAUUUAAAAGACGAGAAGACCCUAUAGAGUUUUAUAAAUUUUUUAAUUAAAGUUUAUUUAUUAAUAAUUAAAUUAAAAUUAUAAUAUUUAUUUUAUUGGGGUGAUAAAAAAAUUAAUAAAACUUUUUUUAAUAAUAAAAAUAAACUUGAAUAAAAGAAUAAAUGAUCCAGAAUUUUUGAUUAUAAGAAUAAAUUACCUUAGGGAUAACAGCGUAAUUUUUUUUUUUAGUUCAAAUAAAAAAGAAAGUUUGCGACCUCGAUGUUGGAUUAAGAUAAAAUUUUAAUGCAAAAGUUAAAAAUUUUGAUCUGUUCGAUCAUUAAAAUCUUACAUGAUCUGAGUUCAAACCGGUGUAAGCCAGGUUGGUUUCUAUCUUUAAUAAAAAGGAAUAUUUUAGUACGAAAGGAUCAAAUAUUUAAAAUAAUUUUAAAGAGGGAAUAUUAUUAAUAAAAUAUUAAAAAAUAUAUUUAAAAAUAGUUAGAUAAUUAAUA
rnacentral:rRNA from 1 species